AAAAAAAAUAUCAGCAGCACUUUUAUCGAUAAGAUUUGAGAGUGAGAGCGCUGCUUCCGUUGCUCACUAGUUUGUUGGGAGAUGGCGGCUUCAGCUGCUUCUACGGUGGCAGCGGCGGCCACAAUGGCGGCACUCACUCUUCACCGUUUCUCCAAAUCAAAUUCUUCCUUCCGCACACUCCCUCGCCUCACUUGCUCCCUGUCUUCUUCUUCCUCACCUCCUUUAAAAUUCAACAUCUCCUUCGCUCCUCCAAAGCCCAAGCCCAAGCCCAACCCAGGCCCAGGGACCGAUCCCGAGGACGAUGACGCGGGCCCCGACCAAUUCCUGGUCCCGUGGAUCGUUCGAGGCGAGGAUGGGAACCUCAAGCUUCAGACGCAGCCUCCGGCGCGUCUGUUGAACGCGAUUGCAACCGCCGAAACUGGAAGUAAGAAGAAGACUAAGAAGAGCGAGAAGGAAGUUAAGGCGACGACGACGUCGCCGCCGCAGCGGUCGAAGGCGGCCCGGAGAUUCUACAAUGAGAAUUUUAGAGACCCUGGGACGCGCCUCAGCAAGGUUCUUGCUGCUUCUGGAGUUGCAUCGAGAAGAAGUUGUGAGGAACUUAUAUUUGAAGGCAAGGUUACUGUCAAUGGUUCUGUGUGCAAUACUCCUCAGACUAGAGUUGAUCCUGCAAAAGAUGUUAUCUACGUGAAUGGGAGCCGUCUUCCUAAGAGGCUGCCUCACAAGGUGUAUCUUGCCUUGAACAAGCCAAAAGGGUACAUAUGCUCAUCUGGGGAGAAUGAGUCCAAGUCUGUUGUAAGUCUAUGUGAUGAUUUUCUGAAGACCUGGGGUAAAAACCAUCCAGGAGUACCCACACCAAGGUUAUUUACUGUAGGGCGCCUUGAUGUUGCUACAACUGGGUUGAUUAUUGUGACUAAUGAUGGAGAUUUUGCCCAAAAACUUUCACAUCCAUCAUCUAAUUUAACAAAAGAAUACAUUGCAACAGUUGAGGGUUCGGUUUAUAAGAGGCAUUUAAUUGCCAUAAGUGAAGGAACAACCAUUGAUGACGUCCAUUGUGUACCUGAUAGUGUGGAAUUACUUCCACGUUUGCCUGACGUUCAACGAUCUCGUCUUCGCAUUGUGCAGUACUGUUUUGGAUUUAAGUGAUAACUGGAGUUGGCAUCCCUCUUGUCUCAAAAUGCCCGCAUUUUAGUUCACGAUGGAAGGAAACAUGAAGUUCGUGAACUUGUAAAGUGUGCUGGACUUGAGAUUUAUUCAUUAAAGCGAGUACGCAUUGGUGGUUUCAAACUUCCAUCAGAUCUUGGUAUAGGGAAGUAUGUUGAGCUAAAUCCAGAAAAUCUGAAGGCAUUGGGGUGGAAGAGUUAAAAAAGGUUGCUCUCGAACUGUUGGGUUCAAAAUAUUCGCCAUCAGUGAGACUAAACUGCCCGGAAGCUAUUAUUGAAGAAUUCGCCAAUGCAAUGGUUUUUGUUUGGUUGGGGCUGUCCGUCGCUGGUGCAUUUCACAUUUCGUGGGAGUUUUGAAAUUAGCAGAGCAGAGUGCUUUUCUUGAGAUUUUGACAUCAAACAAAACUGAUGUUGCAAUCAAUCAUAUCUGGAAGACUUGGGAAAAAGAUUAGAUUACUGCAUAGCAGUUGUACGACUCUUUCUUAUGACUCUGAAGUUUGAGGGGAUUGCUGGUAUAUUUGAUUUAAAGACCUUGUUCCUGACUGCACAGUAAAUAGAACUAGUUUAACUAUUUAGGGUCUGUUCAAAUGAGAGGGUUGUUUUGAUAACUUGGAUGCAUAAAUGUAUACAUAAAGAAAAAGAGACGUUUGUUUAAUUAUUCUUUGUCAUAGACUCAGUGUCAAGCACCAGUCGAGUGUCGA